AGCAGCCGCGGUAAUUCCAGCUCCAAUAGCGUAUAUUAAAGUUGUUGCAGUUAAAAAGCUCGUAGUUGAAUUUCGGGAUCAAUAUGUUGGUCGUGCCUCGGUACGUACUAGCUUAUUGGUUUCUCCUUUCUGAAGAACCAUGAUGUCAUUUAUUUGGUGUCGUGGGGAAUCAGGACUGUUACUUUGAAAAAAUUAGAGUGUUUAAAGCAGGCUCACGCUUGAAUACAUUAGCAUGGAAUAAUGAAAUAGGACGUUUGAUUCUAUUUUGUUGGUUUCUAGGAUCGACGUAAUGAUUAAUAGGGAUAGUCGGGGGCAUUAGUAUUCAAUUGUCAGAGGUGAAAUUCUUGGAUUUAUUGAAGACUAACUACUGCGAAAGCAUUUGCCAAGGAUGUUUUCAUUGAUCAAGAACGAAAGUUAGGGGAUCGAAGACGAUCAGAUACCGUCGUAGUCUUAACCAUAAACUAUGCCGACUAGGGAUCGGAUGAUGUUAAUUUCUUAAUGACUCACUCGGCCG
rnacentral:misc_RNA from 1 species